UACGUAGGGGGCAAGCGUUGUCCGGAAUCAUUGGGCGUAAAGAGCGUGUAGGCGGUCCGGUAAGUCGGUUGUGAAAGUCCAGGGCUCAACCCUGGGAUGCCGAUCGAUACUGUCGGACUAGAGUUCGGAAGAGGCGAGUGGAAUUCCCGGUGUAGCGGUGAAAUGCGCAGAUAUCAGGAGGAACACCGAUGGCGAAGGCAGGUCUCUGGGCCGAUACUGACGCUGAGGAGCGAAAGCGUGGGGAGCGAACAGG
rnacentral:rRNA from 1 species